ensembl:misc_RNA Metazoa_SRP Metazoan signal recognition particle RNA
GCUGGGUGCAGUGGCACAUGCCUGUAGUCCCAGCUACUCGGGAGGUUGAGGUGGGAGGAUCGCUUGAGCCCAGGAGUUCUGGGCUGUAGUGCGCUAUGCCCAUCCAGUGUCCAUACUAAGUUUGGUAUCAAUAUGGUGACCUUCCAGGAGCGGGGAACCACCAGGUUGCCUAAGGAGGGGUGAAUUGGCCCGGGUUAGAAACGGAGUAGGUCAAAACCCCCAUGCUGAUCAGUAGUGAGAUCGCGCCUGUGAAUAGUCACUGCACUCCAGCCUGGGCAACAUAGUGAGAGCCCGUCUCUU